GCCCCAGGGUAACAGCUGGACCUCUGGAGGCACUGGAGACAAAGAUCAGCCACAUGGCAGUCAACCAUGUCUAUGUGACCAAGUUCCAGUGAAAACUCUGGACACCAAGGCUUGGGAGAUAUUUCUUAAAAGACUCCUCUGCGGGAGAGAACAGCUGUACUCUAAGCAGUUCGCAGGGAGCAUCUUUCAGCAGCUGAAACAGCUUUGCGGCCUUGCUGUAAUGAAGAUCUGCCAGCACUCGGUGUUGUUUCCUAAGGUGUUCAUCACCAACCUAGAACCAAACCAAAACAAGCAACACAUCCUUCACGGAUUCAAAUAUUUGGCAUGCGUCUUGACAAGUGAGUGCCUAGACACAUGUUGAUGAUGCUUAGUGGGAAAAUGUGCUGGAAAUAGCUCGUGAAAAGACAAAGAAUGAAACAGAACCAGGAAGUCAGCACAGAAAAAGAGGAAGUGGAGCCAGAAUCCACGGAUGUCAUUAUCCAUCUGCACACUUUGUUUACUACCCAGAAGGCAAGAAUAUUGCAUUUUAAAAGUGCCUGGACUUUUGUUCUUUCUUAUCACAAAUGACUUGGGAAGCUCCCACCACUCAUGAAAGUCCAAUUCAAAGCCUUGCUUUCUGGAGAGCUUUGAGAUUCUGGUACAAAAGCCAUUUUAUAAGCACAAAGUGGAAAAGCAUCAUUCAUAUUCAUUUGCUGCUGUGGCAUUUCUCCCUGGAAUCUUCCUCUUGUCUGUCAACAUUGGGCAAAAGGACUGGCCUCGUCUACAUUACAGGUAUCAUUCUGAUCAUUGUUGUUACAGGAGAGAUGAGAGGAAAUUAGAGGGGCUAGAAGAACCAGGAGACCUGUUAAAAAUCAUGAAUACAAAGAAAAGUCUUUUUGCUUCUGUGCUUCAAUUCCAUAAUAAAAUGAGUAUAAUGUCAA